rnacentral:rRNA from 1 species
AAGACUGGAUACUACUUUCUCUCGCAUGGGGGUGUGUGGAAAGGUAUUGACUGGGUUUGGAUGGGCUCACGAUCUAUCAGCUUGUGGGUGGGGGAAUGGCCUACCAAGGCAACGACGGGCAGCCGGACUGAGAGGGUGACCGGCCACACUGUGACUGAGACACGGCCCUCACUCCUACGGGAGGCAGGAGUGAUAAAUAUUGCACAAUGAGCGAAAGCCUGAUGCACCGACGCCGCGGGAGGAAUGACGGCCUUCGGGUUGUAAACCUCUUUCAGCACGAAAGAAGCGAAAGUGACGGUACGUGCAAAAGAACCGCCGGCUAACUACCUGCCACCACCCGCGGUAAUACGUAGGGCGCAAGCGUUGUCCGUAAUUAUUGGGCGUAAAGAGCUCGUAGGCGGUUUGUCCCGUCUGCUGUGAAAGCCCGUUACUUACCCCCGGGGUGUGCAGUGCGUACGGACUAACUAGAGUGCAGUAAGAGAGACUGUAAUUCCUGAUGUAGCGAUGAAAUGCACAUAUAUCAGAAGGAACACCGAUGGCGAAGGCAUCUCUCUGGUCUGUUACUGACACUGACGAGCGAAAGCAUGGCGAGCGAACAGGAAUACAUACCCUGGUAGUGCAUGCCGUAAACGUUGCUAACUAUGUGUGACAUACAUUCCACGUUUUCCGCGCCGUAGCUAACGCAUUAACUGCCCCGCCUGGUGAGUACGCCCGCAUAGCUAUCACUCGAAUUGAUUGACGGCCGCCCACGCAAGCGACGGAGCAUGCUAAUUAAUUCCAUGCAACACAAACAUACCUUACCCAUGGAUUUGACAUACACCAGACCGACACAUGAGAUGUUCUUCUCUCUUUGUAGUUGGACGUACAGGUGAUGCAUGUUUGUCGUCAGCUCGUGUCGAUGAGUAUGUUGAGUACCGUCCACGCAACGAGAGCAUCCCUCGAUGCUAUGCUAGCCAGCACUGAUGGUGGCUGACAUCGUAAGCAGACUGGCGCGAUCAGCUCGAGGAGGUGAUGAUGACGAUCAAAUCAU